rnacentral:rRNA from 1 species
UUUAAAUUGAGAGUUUGAUCCUGGCUCAGGAUGAACGCUGGCGGCGUGCUUAACACAUGCAAGUCGAGCGAUGAAGUUUCCUUCGGGAAACGGAUUAGCGGCGGACGGGUGAGUAACACGUGGGUAACCUGCCUCAUAGAGUGGAAUAGCCUUCCGAAAGGAAGAUUAAUACCGCAUAAUGUUGAAAGAUGGCAUCAUCAUUCAACCAAA